CAUGAUUUAUAACAGGUGGAGCGAUUUGUCUUGAUAAUUCCGUUAACGAAGGAGACCUCAGACUGCUAAUUAGCUACGUGGAGGCAUCCCUUCACGGACGGCUUCUUAGAGGGACUAUGGCCGUUUAGGCCAAGGAAGUUUGAGGCAAUAACAGGUCUGUGA
rnacentral:ncRNA from 3 species